CGAGCGAAAGAUGAGAAGCUUGCUUCUCUGAUGUUAGCGGCGGACGGGUGAGUAACACGUGGGUAACCUACCUAUAAGACUGGGAUAACUCCGGGAAACCGGGGCUAAUACCGGAUAAUAUUUUGAACCGCAUGGUUCAAUAGUGAAAGACGGUUUCGGCUGUCACUUAUAGAUGGACCCGCGCCGUAUUAGCUAGUUGGUAAGGUAACGGCUUACCAAGGCGACGAUACGUAGCCGACCUGAGAGGGUGAUCGGCCACACUGGAACUGAGACACGGUCCAGACUCCUACGGGAGGCAGCAGUAGGGAAUCUUCCGCAAUGGGCGAAAGCCUGACGGAGCAACGCCGCGUGAGUGAUGAAGGUCUUCGGAUCGUAAAACUCUGUUGUUAGGGAAGAACAAAUUUGUUAGUAACUGAACAAGUCUUGACGGUACCUAACCAGAAAGCCACGGCUAACUACGUGCCAGCAGCCGCGGUAAUACGUAGGUGGCAAGCGUUAUCCGGAAUUAUUGGGCGUAAAGCGCGCGUAGGCGGUUUCUUAAGUCUGAUGUGAAAGCCCACGGCUCAACCGUGGAGGGUCAUUGGAAACUGGGAAACUUGAG
rnacentral:rRNA from 1 species